CCGUCACCUCGGGUGUCCUGCGCUUCCCCUACGCCGCAGAGCCGCGUCCCUCAGAUACUGGGAAGCCGUGUCGGAGUCCUGGGAGAGUUCUGAAUCCUCCAUGAGAAGGGCUCCUACUCACUCUUCAAGGCCAAAGCACAAAGCCAGGUACACGAAGUCUCUCAGCAAGUACGGAGCGGCGUGAGGCCCAAUCCCAAACCGCAGAGUCACACGGCCUUCUGAGAGGAGGCCCAGGCCCUGUGGUCAUCCUUAUGAUCAUCAGGCCUUGUCUCCCUUGGUGCCUGCACAUGUGGCACAGCGAGGGCUUCCUCUAAUUCAGCAGUGAACAAGAGAGCUAAUACGGUGGACUCCUGAGUUACAACUGGCCCAACCUAGGAACAACUUGGGUUACGACCAGAAUGCUAGCUUUUAAUUUGCAGCCAACAUCUUGAGUUACGACUAAAUGCCAGCCGCAUGUGCUUUCAGAUGGCCUCAGAUGCAGAUUUAACCCUUAAAGACAGCGUCCUCUCCUGUGUGGGGUUCGCUAAGAAAUCCCGGGCCGGGUGUCUCUGAGGGCGCUGAGAGCUGCCCGUGUCCAGGAGGGAGACUGUGAAGGCUGCGGAGAGGAGCUGAGCCUGCAGCUGAGUUACAACCAGCGCAUGGGAACAACUGCGUUGGAAAGUCAAGGGUCCACUGUAACUUAGUCGCAAAUCCGAUGAUGUGAGAGAGGCAAUGACCCUGGCCAUGGCUGUCCAGGUAGUGGCAGCCACAGGUGUGUGUGCGCGUGCACACACGUGUGUGUAUGUGCGUUGUACCCCAGCACCUCUGCGUCUUUCCACGGAGCAUUACGGGGAGUAGGUAACAUAAAAACAGCCAAGGUACCAAACUGAGGGAGUCAUCUGGAAAAUCCUUCAGUAAUAAAUCAAAAGUGUCUAAAUCCUGCAUUACUCGAUCUCACAUGUAUUUGUUUUUAGGGACCGUUCGGAACAACUGAAGAGGUAUAAUGAUGUUGAGUCUCACCAAUGUAGCCGUCAUGUUUUUUGGAAGCGUCAAAGACUGCGUAAUAUGUCCUGAAUAUUCCCCAGAAUUAAAGUGUUAUGUGAUGUUCUUCCCGAUUUAGCGUGUGCUAUUCAUCAAUUAAAAUGUAUUUCAUGAAAUCAUGUAAGGAAAUAUGAACUCCAAGGAA